rnacentral:rRNA from 1 species
AUACGGAGGAUGCGAGCGUUAUCCGGAUUUAUUAGGUUUAAAGGGUGUGUAGGCGGUAUUUUAAGUCAGUGGUGAAAUCUUUCAGCUUAACUGAGAAACUGCCAUUGAUACUGGAAUACUUGAGUAUAGUUGAGGUAGGCGGAAUAUGUAAUGUAGCGGUGAAAUGCAUAGAUAUUACAUAGAACACCGAUUGCGAAGGCAGCUUACUAAACUAUUACUGACGCUGAUGCACGAAAGCGUGGGGAGCGAACAGGAUUAGAUACCCUAGUAGUCC